UUACUCUGGUUUUCCUUCAAAACGUAUAAAUCUUUCGCCUUUUACUAAAGAUUUCCGUGGAGGGGAACACUCAAACAAUUUGCUUGCGACGAUGUAAAUAUGAUUCUAAAAUUUUG